rnacentral:rRNA from 1 species
UACGGGGGGGGCAAGCGUUGUUCGGAAUUACUGGGCGUAAAGGGCGCGUAGGCGGCCUUCUAAGUCAGACGUGAAAUCCCUCGGCUCAACCGAGGAACUGCGUCUGAUACUGGAAGGCUUGAAUCCGGGAGAGGGAUGUGGAAUUCCAGGUGUAGCGGUGAAAUGCGUAGAUAUCUGGAGGAACACCGGUGGCGAAGGCGGGUUGCUGGGCCAACACUGACGCUGAGGCGCGAAAGCCAGGGGAGCAAACGGG